rnacentral:rRNA from 1 species
UACGAAGGGGGCGGGCGUUGUUCGGAAUUACUGGGCGUAAAGGGCGCGUAGGCGGCGACUCAAGUUAGAUGUGAAAGUCCUGGGCUUAACCUGGGGACUGCAUUUGAUACUGGGUUGCUUGAAUUCGGGAGAGGAUAGCGGAAUUCCCAGUGUAGAGGUGAAAUUCGUAGAUAUUGGGAAGAACACCGAUGGCGAAGGCAGCCAUCUGGACCGACACUGACGCUGAGGCGCGAAAGCGUGGGGAGCAAACAGG